AGUGAACGCUGGCGGUAGGCCUAACACAUGCAAGUCGAACGGCAGCACAGUAAGAGCUUGCUCUUACGGGUGGCGAGUGGCGGACGGGUGAGGAAUACAUCGGAAUCUACUUUUUCGUGGGGGAUAACGUAGGGAAACUUACGCUAAUACCGCAUACGACCUACGGGUGAAAGCAGGGGAUCUUCGGACCUUGCGCGAUUGAAUGAGCCGAUGUCGGAUUAGCUAGUUGGCGGGGUAAAGGCCCACCAAGGCGACGAUCCGUAGCUGGUCUGAGAGGAUGGUCAGCCACACUGGAACUGAGACACGGUCCAGACUCCUACGGGAGGCAGCAGUGGGGAAUAUUGGACAAUGGGCGCAAGCCUGAUCCAGCCAUACCGCGUGUGUGAAGAAGGCCUUCGGGUUGUAAAGCCCUUUUGUUGGGAAAGGAAAGCAGCAGGUUAAUACCCCGCUGUUCUGACGGUACCCAAAGAAUAAGCACCGGCUAACUUCGUG
rnacentral:rRNA from 1 species